rnacentral:rRNA from 1 species
CUAUGGACGGCAGAGUUGGGCGAAAGCCUGAUCCAGCCAUGCCGCGUGAGUGAUGAAGGCCCUAGGGUUGUAAAGCUCUUUCAACGGUGAAGAUAAUGACGGUAACCGUAGAAGAAGCCCCGGCUAACUUCGUGCCAGCAGCCGCGGUAAUACGAAGGGGGCUAGCGUUGUUCGGAAUUACUGGGCGUAAAGCGCACGUAGGCGGAUUGUUAAGUUAGGGGUGAAAUCCCAGGGCUCAACCCUGGAACUGCCUUUAAUACUGGCAAUCUCGAGUCCGAGAGAGGUGAGUGGAAUUCCGAGUGUAGAGGUGAAAUUCGUAGAUAUUCGGAGGAACACCAGUGGCGAAGGCGGCUCACUGGCUCGGUACUGACG